rnacentral:lncRNA from 1 species
GGGGAUGCGAAAAUUUUUAUGUAUCUACUAAAGGAUACAAGGUAAGAACACCUACUCAAGGGUGUUAGAAGGAGAAGCACUUACUGAUGAGUGCUAAACAGGUUUGGGUCAGGCUCGUGAUGUUGAACAAGCGCUACCUGGAAGGCAAUCCAGUUGAUUAUUUUGUUUUAAUCCCGUGUUAAGUGCAUUACAUGUUGAUGAUUGCAUCUGAGAGGGGAAAGGUAUAUAUUUGAGAAAUUGAAGGUUGAAAUUAAGUGCUAGAGGGAAAAAUUACUCAAAAGAAUGGAAAAAGAGGAAGAAGAGAAAUCACGCGCAAACCGUUGAGCGGUGCAUUUUUCCGCUGAGCGGUUGCGGUGCUAAGGGGUUUGGCUUUGCUUAAAAGCUGAGCGGUUUUCCACAUUUGACACUUUGAAACUCUUCUUUGCAUUUCGCUUGAGCGGACUCCCCAAGCCCUAACACCC